GAAACCCAUGAUAUAUGUCACUUUUUUCUCUGGGGCCUUUCUCCAUCCUCCAGGCAGUUCCAGAUGCUGCCACAAAAAUGCUUAGCUCCCUUUUCUGGUCAUCUUUAAGUUCCCUCACUGUAGUACUAUCUUGCCUAGAAGAGAACAUUCAGACAUUUGUUUAUAGCUGUCAGUGGUCAUUUCUGCAGUGUUGAAUUGUCUCUCCCUUUUCCUCCCCUACUUUUGAGUCACUAGCAUGCUCUAAUUUAAUGGUUUCCCCAUCCUUCAAAUGCUCUCCUUUUAAACAUUUUCUCUGACAUUAGUUUCUCUUUCCUAGCAGGAGGCUGAGUGUUUAAGCUCCUGACAUAUUCCCGCCGAGUGGCUGUGAGUGUGAGAAGCACUGCAGUACAGUAGGAGUGACUAGUUAAGCCUCUUGGACAGGGAGAAAGAACUGGGAGUGUGGCUGUGAAGUGGGUACCCUGGGUACAAGUAUCCCUGUCUUUAGAAUCUGUGUACCUAGUGUGGCUCUAACUCCAGUUAAGGGCCCAGUUAAAGUGGGCCUGGAUGUCUCAUGAAGUCCUGGAUGGCCCCCAGUUCAGAGGACCCAGUACUGAAGGUGCCACCUUUACUUAGCUCCUGAUCUGGGCUGGAUGUGAAGGCCUCUGAGCUGACUUCUGACUCUGGCUCACCUCCCGAUGCUUAUAUGCCCCUCCCUGCCCUUGCCAAAUGAUCUCCCUCUCCCUGCAGGUUCUCACACCAAAUACAAACCUGAAGAUGAAAUAAGUCAUUGCUGUGCACUGCUGAACCCCAGCCUAUGCAGGUGACAGAUGACUGAUGCCAGCCCAGCUAAAGCCUCACUUCAUUCUUGUGAUUUUGUGGGCACAAAAGAACUUGAAUGAGUUGAACCUAAAGUUAAA
rnacentral:lncRNA from 10 species